rnacentral:tRNA from 3 species
GCCCCUGUCGUCUAGCCCGGCCUAGGACAUCGCCCUUUCAAGGCGGCAACACGGGUUCGAAUCCCGUCGGGGGCG